GCUUAAGUGGGAGAAAGACGGCCGGUGGUUAACAGACUGAGAUGGAGCCCGUUGACCCUACAAGCAACAGCCCCUGGGGGUCAGGUAGGGCUUAGAGUUCAAAGCCUUGGCAUUCACGCCCAGAGUGACUCCUUCCUUGGGGCCCUUCUAUACCCUGGUAUUGAGGCAACAGGCUGUCUCUGUCUUCCAGAGGGAGGGAUGAUAGCUCCAUCUUAUCAAGGGGACAGGAGCGUGGAGCUCCUUCAAGUCAAGAUGAGAGCGGGGCCUGAAGAUGAAUCUCCAAUCCAGCCCUUGACUUCUGAGCCUCCCCUGUAUUCAUUCACAGCUGGCCUCCUGGUGAGUCCUGGGAGCAGACAGAGCCCAGCCCGGCAGUGUCUGAGGAGUCUGGAUAAAGACAUGGUGGAGGGCACUACUGUGUGUCCCCUCUGGACCAGGGUAAAAGGCUUUGCACUGUAGGCAGAGAGUGACUGCUGGUUUCAGGAUGGGCUGUGGCUCUGGGAAUAGUGAGGGUCAGGGUUCCCUGGGCUUCUAUGGGGCUGGUGAAGGGGGUGGUUCAGGCCCAAUGGCAUGUAGAUACACUCCCUCCCCACUUUAGGAAUAACUCCAAAGAGCCCAACACUGUAGUACACUGGGCUCAUGGUUCACCCUCUUGUUCUGUAUCCCAGAAGGACAAAUGGAGCUCAUGUGACUCUGGAGGCAUGGAGGACUCCCCAGGCCUGUUUUUUUUUUUUUUUUUUUUAAGUGAAGGGUCUGGGAAUACUCACCAUCUGGGAGCCUGGCAUGCUUGGAUCAGACUUCAGGAAAAUCAGCAGGCUCACCCAGAGCUGCACACUCACACACCCAGGCACGCUCACAUGCAGGACAGACACCCACAGAUGGACACAUUCUCACAUCCCAGCAGCACCUGGACCCUGGUUCCAUUUCUGGCUGGACUCACUCUGAAAGACUCAGCCCCUCUGUCUAGCUCCCUGGUGUUCGUCUACGGUCCCCUGGGCCCAUUGAUGCUAUCACAAAAGCCCCCAUACUCUGUUCCUUGCAUGGCCGUGACUGAUGUUAGUUGCUUUGGAUGGAACUACUGACCUCUUGGUGGUUCCGGUCAGUGUCUGGGAGGCAAUGGGGAUGUGGGAAGCAAGAACUCACACAGAGCUCUGCCUAUAAGUCAGUGUAGAAAUAAUGACCCUAAACUGAAAUAUGGGCACUCCUGAUUCAUUUUUAUUAGGUGUCAGGUUAGGCACAGUAGCCUGCCAGUCAUAUACCAUGCCAAUUAAUGGGAUGAUAUGUAACCCGUAGAUGGGCCCCAAUCUUCUUUUCUCAUGCAGCCUGUGUUCUGGGAGGAAUUAUUCUGUCUGUUCUACGGGUCCUUACCCAGGCGCUGAAGUGCUUCCCCAACAGCAGUGCCACUCUGCUACCAGCCCAGCAUGCCAGAGGACCACUCACAACCUAUUCUAGGUAUAAUACAUGGGACCUGAGCUGAAGGAGAAUCUCUAGCUUGCAAAUGUUUUUGGCCCCCUUGGGACAUUGGCUUGCUUCCCAGGCUUUCCUCCUUGGCUCUCUGGCUGAUCCCUUCCAACACUGCUCUGAGGAUUUCAUCCCAUCUCCCAGGAAGGCCCAAGACUAGCAAGAUUCUGGCUACCUAUGUCUGGGCUUUGGCAGCAGGAAAUUAGCUGCUGGCCCCAGCUGUCAGCUAGAGUGGGUCAUUUUCUCAGCAGUCAGCUAAUGCAGAGGCACUUCUGAUGGGUUGAAUGAGAACAAAACCAUCUCUCUACUUCCCCAUCCAUCUACAUUCUACCACCAAAGCAAAGAAAGAUGCAGGCCUUCCUGUUCUUUAGCAUCCCAAGCUGUUGGGGAAGUCACUAUAGCCAGGAGUUUUCUCUAUUCCAUGACACUGGGCUUGAAAAGCCACUGCAACAUCCUGGAAGCAACACCCGCACCUAGGAUGACCCUGACUCAUAGAAAAUGUUCCCUGCACAACAUAUUUGUCACAUGAACUAGAGAGCGUUUGACCUGGAGAUGAGAACACUGCUUCCAAAUAAUAAAGCUUUGUCAUGAGAAGGGAAAGAUGGCCUUUCUCGGUAUGGCACCAGUGAUAUUAAUUAUGGGGGUGGGCUGGAUUGCAGUUCCACAUGAAAUAGCUAGUCCAACACAGUGAGAGCUGCCUUGGUAGGGGAGCACCCUGUGGCUGGAGGCUUUCAAGCAGAGGCAAGACAAUCUCUUGGCAAGGAUGUUGUAAUGGUGUGGAUGAGGUUCCUGGAUAGAGGGUGUCUGCAAGUCCUCUUCAACCACAAGAGCCUGUCAUUCCAGGUCAGAUGUUCUACACUGCCCAGCACAUGGUACAGGUUCCCUCAUGCUACUCUCCAUAAUGUCCACUGAGGACUUUUUCUGGAAGGCUAAAAUGCUCAAUAAAAUCUCAUCUGUGAUCAUUGA